AUUGAACGCUGGCGGCAUGCUUUACACAUGCAAGUCGAACGGUAACAGGCCGCAAGGUGCUGACGAGUGGCGAACGGGUGAGUAAUGCAUCGGAACGUGCCCAGUCGUGGGGGAUAACGCAGCGAAAGCUGUGCUAAUACCGCAUACGAUCUAUGGAUGAAAGCGGGGGACCGUAAGGCCUCGCGCGAUUGGAGCGGCCGAUGUCAGAUUAGGUAGUUGGUGGGGUAAAGGCCUACCAAGCCGACGAUCUGUAGCUGGUCUGAGAGGACGACCAGCCACACUGGGACUGAGACACGGCCCAGACUCCUACGGGAGGCAGCAGUGGGGAAUUUUGGACAAUGGGCGCAAGCCUGAUCCAGCAAUGCCGCGUGCAGGAAGAAGGCCUUCGGGUUGUAAACUGCUUUUGUACGGAACGAAACGGUCUGGGUUAAUACCCCGGGCUAAUGACGGUACCGUAAGAAUAAGCACCGGCUAACUACGUGCCAGCAGCCGCCGUAAAAC
rnacentral:rRNA from 1 species